rnacentral:rRNA from 1 species
UACGUAGGGUGCAAGCGUUAAUCGGAAUUACUGGGCGUAGAGCGUGCGCAGGCGGUUAUAUAAGAUAGAUGUGAAAUCCCCGGGCUCAACCUGGGAACUGCAUUUGUGACUGUAUAGCUAGAGUACGGUAGAGGGGGAUGGAAUUCCGCGUGUAGCAGUGAAAUGCGUAGAUAUGCGGAGGAACACCGAUGGCGAAGGCAAUCCCCUGGACCUGUACUGACGCUCAAGCACGAAAGCAUGGGGAGCAAACAGG